GUCCACGCCCUAAACUAUGGAUACUCGACAUACGCGAUACACUGUGUGUGUCUGAGCGAAAGCAUUAAGUAUCCCACCUGGGAAGUACGACCGCAAGGUUGAAACUCAAAGGAAUUGGCGGGGUCGCACAAGCGGUGGAGCAUGUGGUUUAAUUCGAUGAUACGCGAGGAACCUUACCUGGGCUAGAAUGCGGUUUGACCGUGGGUGAAAGCUCAUUUUGUAGCAAUACACAGAUCGUAAGGUGCUGCAUGGCUGUCGU
rnacentral:rRNA from 1 species